UCACUUCCCACCAUAUUCCUGGGAGGCUUACUGUGUGUAACAGGUGGCACCAUUAGGUGGCGCUCCCUCCACAGCCUGAGCCUCCAUAAAAGGGAAGCUGGGAGGGUGGUGGCCAAGUGUCAAUUUCCUGUGUGUGUGACCAGUUUUCUCACUGCUUCCUGCUGUCCAGCGGCCGGCACGCCACCUCCUCCAUACCUGCAGGGGAAGACUACCAAAAGGAAACUCAAGAAAACAAAAAACAAAACAGUAAAAAUAAAUCCU